rnacentral:rRNA from 1 species
GAUGAACGCUGGCGGCGUGCUUAACACAUGCAAGUCGAACGAAGCAUUUAGAACAGAUUACUUCGGUUUGAAGUUCUUUAUGACUGAGUGGCGGACGGGUGAGUAACGCGUGGGUAACCUGCCUUGUACUGGGGGAUAGCAGCUGGAAACGGCUGGUAAUACCGCAUAAGCGCACAAUGUUGCAUGACAUGGUGUGAAAAACUCCGGUGGUAUAAGAUGGACCCGCGUCUGAUUAGCUAGUUGGUGAGAUAACAGCCCACCAAGGCGACGAUCAGUAGCCGGCCUGAGAGGGUGACCGGCCACAUUGGGAGUGAGACACGGCCCAGACUCCUACGGGAGGCAGCAGUGGGGAAUAUUGCAACAUGGAGGAAACUCUGAUGCAGCGACGCCGGGUGAGUGAAGAAGUAAUUCGUGAUGUAAAGCCCUAGCAGCAGGGAAGAUAGUGACGGUACCUGACGAAGAAGCUACGGCUAAAUACGUG